rnacentral:rRNA from 1 species
AUAAUGAGUUUGAUCCUGGCUCAGAAUGAACGCUAAUAGUAUGCUUUACACAUGCAAGUCUAACGAAUUUUUCGUGGCAAACGGGUGAGGAAUAAAUAGAUUUUAACCUUUUGGAAAAAAAUAAAACAUAAUCUUCUUUAUCUAUAAUUUUGACUAAAAAUAUUUUAUUAUUUGUGUUAAUGUUUUAUAAAAAUUACUAAAAAUAUUGAUAGAUAUAAUUAUUUAUAUCUGUAUUAAUGUGCCAAAAGAUAAAUCUGUUUAAGAUUAGGUUGUUGGUAGAAAAGACUACCAAGCCGUUGAUCUUUAGUUGAUUUGAGAGAAUGAUCAACCACACUGGAACUGAGACAAGGUCCAGGCUAAUGUUUUGGCCAGCAGUGAGGAAUAUUGGACAAUGAACGAAAGUUUGAUCCAGCAAUACUAUAUGAAUGAUGAAAGCUAAUUUGGUUGUAAAGUUCUUUCAAUUAAUUAUGAUAAUGACAUAAAUUAAAGAAGAAGUCCCGGCAAAUCUCGUGCCAGCAGCCGCGGUAAUACGAAGGGUGCAAGCGUUACUCGGAAUUACUGGGCGUAAAGCGUGCGCAGGCGGUUUUGUAAGUCUGUCGUGAAAGCCCCGGGCUCAACCUGGGAAUUGCGAUGGAGACUGCAAGGCUUGAAUCUGGCAGAGGGGGGUAGAAUUCCACGUGUAGCAGUGAAAUGCGUAGAGAUGUGGAGGAACACCGAUGGCGAAGGC